rnacentral:rRNA from 1 species
UAAGACGAACCGUGCGAACGUUGUUCGGAAUCACUGGGCUUAAAGGGCGCGUAGGCGGGUUCCCAAGUCGGGGGUGAAAUCUUUCGGCCCAACCGGAAAAGGGCCUCCGAUACUGGGAACCUCGAGGGGGGUAGGGGUCGGCGGAACUUCCGGUGGAGCGGUGAAAUGCGUAGAUAUCGGAAGGAACGCCGGUGGCGAAAGCGGCCGACUGGACCUCACCUGACGCUGAGGCGCGAAAGCCAGGGGAGCGAACGGGAUUAGAUACCCCGGUAGUCCUGGCCCUAAACGAUGGGCACCGGAUUGUGGACUUGACAUGGGUUCACAGUCGAGGCAAAAGUGUUAAGUGCCCCGCCUGGGGAGUAUGGUCGCAAGGCUG